UUCAAGUGAUCAUCCCCUGCCUCAGCUUCUAUAGAAGCUGGGACUAUAGCCUGAUGGCACCAUGCCCAGCUAAUCUUAUUUUAAUAUUUUACAGAUGGGGUCUCAAGAUGUUGCCCAUACUGGUUCAAACUCCUGCCUUAAGUGAUCCUCCAGCCUCAACCUCCCACGUAGUUGGGAUUACAGGCAUGAGCCACAGUGCCCAGCUGCCAAUAUGCUUUGAAUUUUCAGUAAGGACUGUCGUUGAGGAAGAUCAAUUGCUCAGGGGGACUACAGCUCUGUGUCCUAUACCAGCACUGAAGCCUCAAUUCUAGUCUAAUCUGCAGCCUCGGAUGAGGGGAAGACCACUUUGUGGAGGCAAGCUGUCUUCUCUAUAUGAAGGCAUCUGAGAUGAUUACUGGUGGCACUCUAGAUUGGACGUUUGAACAUUUCCCAAACACAAAGCAAAAAAUCAAAAAGAAAGAAGCCAGUAUCUACUGGACAAGGCAGUGUGCAAGGCAGUUUCCCAGAGAGAUGGAAACACAAAGCUGUCCUCGGAGAAGUAACUCACUGAGAAGAAGGCUGUUCAUGGGGCAUGUUUGACACUGGUCCUCCGCCGGCCCCAUGCAGUGGAAGCACUUAACAUGGCAGGGCUUGCACCCGGGAGCAUCCUCAUCCCAGUACUCGGAGGGAAAUUGAGGCUGGAGAUGCUAAGUCACUUACGCUAAGUAGUAUCAGGAGUUGAGCCCAGGACCUUAGCAACUGCCUUGCUGCUUCUGCUCCAGUGCUUCAGGAAAGAGAAAGGCCAGAAGUUGAACCUCAGUUCCUGCCCUCGCAGAGGCAAGAUGGCGCUGGAGGCCUGCUGCUGAGUCUCUCACCUCCCAGAAGCCAUUCCCAGCUCCACAGCCUGCCUCCCACACGAACACCCGCCUCUUCUGCAUGCGGACACAGCCUUGACAUCCACGCCUUUUCACAUAUGGGCAGGUUCCUGCUGGACACUCCUCCAAGCACAGUCCAUCAUAGAGGACCCAGGAACUCUCAAGACAGAGCUCGCAGUCGUCGGCUUUGGGGCCACUGCACUCCAGACAGUCUUUAUGGCAGGGGACACAGUGGCGCGAGUCUGCAUAGAAGCCACGGGGACAGGACUGGUGGCACAUAUCAUCGUGCAGGAAGAACUCAGGCGUGCACUCUGGGAAAAGGAGGAAGCAGCAAGUUAUCCCCGGGGGGUAGGAGAAAGGAAUUCAUUGUCUGCAGUAGGCUAGCUCCUCCCUCAGCACUUUGGUUGAUUUGACCUGAGAGUAUGCUUGCCCUUUACCCACCCUGCCAGGGCAUAGACUUGAUGUCUAACAAGCCCUGCCUUGGGACAAGGAGGCCACACAUGGUGACCGUAUUAGAUGGUGCUGGACUUACACAAUGAAAUGGUCUGCCCUUUGGAGGUGCAGUGCAAAAAUUUGCAAUGCUGCAAAAGACAGGGAUGGCUGAGAGGCUGGCGGUAUUGUUUGAAAAACCCGAAGAGCAUUAACAGAUUUAAAAAAUUGUAUUGAGAACCUCACACUGUUUUCAACACAGAAAGCAGUUUAGGAAUGGUUGGAUUAGUUAACUUUUCAUUCAUUGAUCAGGUACAACAAUGAAUACAGGAUUGAUCAGUGUGAAGAAUACAUUGCGGGUUUAUUUUUUUUGUGUUCAUUUUCUUACUUUGGGGGGAAUCCUGGGAAACACUUGAGGUCACACCAAGAGAAUACUUUGGAUAGGACAGCACCAGUUAAAUGAGUCUGUCUUAUUCUGGAGAGAAAAUUGAACAGCUUUUUGGGGGAGAUAAUUCCUGAGGGAAAAAAACAACAAAAUUCAUUCACAGCCAGAGUGGUCAUCUCAGUCAUAGUUGCCCGAACUUUUCUUUCCUAUCCUUUUUAACAACUGCAGUUUUCUAGCUACCUCUGUGUUUUGUGGCUUACUAUCAGUCUGUAAGAUUUUGUGUUCCAAAAGAUGGGAACAGCUGGGCGUGGUGCCUCACGCUUGUAAUCCCAGCACUUUGGGAGGCUGAGGACGGUGGAUCACCUGAGGUCAGGAGUUUGAGACCAGCCUGACCAACAUGGAGAAACCUCGUCUCUACUAAAAAUGUUAAAAUUAGCCCGGCGUGGUGGAGCGUGCCUGUAAUCCCAGCUACUCUGGAGGCUGAGGCAGGAGAAUCGCUUAAACAUGGGAGGCAGAAGUUGCAGUGAGCUGAGAUUGAGCCAUUGCACUCCAGCCUGGGCAACAAGAGUGAAACUCCAUCUCAAGGAAAAAAAAAAGAUGAGAACAUUGGGUUCUUCUCUGUACCUCUAGCACCUAGGAUAGCACUUGCACAUCUGCUGUGUGUGUACAUAUGGGGGUGAGUGUAAGAGAUCAUGCAAAAAGGGGCUCUUGCUUGUCUUAACUUGCAGCAUCCAUAAUGAAAAGGGUGUAUCUCACCCUCAGUUUCUCUGAUGACAGGCACAGAGACAUACCUUUCAGGAAUGGUAGGGAGACUGGUUCCCACAGCUCUUUGCCAUCCACCCUCAGAUAAUCGGCCCCCAACUGGUGGCUCAGCAGAGCCUUGCUCUCCUGUGGGAAGCUCCUAGGUACCUUUGCAUGUUUUCUCAUGGAUGCAGUCCUGACACAUCUCUGGGCAAUGCUUGCAUACCCCCUUCACAGCCACGUGCCUCUCGGGGCAGUUUUCCUGGCACACUCCGUGGUGCAGGACGUGGCCUCCUUCACAAGAAUGGCAGUUGGUGGCGUUUCCUUCACAUGUUCUGCAAGGAGAGCUACAGCGUUCACAUAUGCCGUCUUCUGCAUAAGAGCCCCUGUGGAAGGAAGACAGAGUGCAACUGGAGAAGCUGACCUGCUGGAGAAGUGACUCAUUCCUGGGGAAAAGGAAUUAGGUCUAAAAACAAAAGGGCUGCUGCUGUCGUCAGCUGAGAGGCAUCCAUGGGAUUUAUAAGGAAGUGAAAAGAACAUUCAGAAAAAUGGAAGGAAAAGGACAAGCAUUAUUCUUGUGAAAGGAAAAUAAAUCUUGGGACCCCAGUAUUACUAAGCCAAAGGGAAAAAUCAAGCUGGGAACUGCUUAGGGUAAACCUGCCUCCCACGCUAUUCCUUAAAAAGAUAGCUAACUGGCCGGGUGUGGUGGCUCACGCUUGUAAUCCCAGCACUUUGGGAGGCCGAGGUGGGCAGGUCAUCAGGUCAGGAGAUCGAGACCAUUCUGGCCAACAUGGUGAAACACUGUCUCUACUAAAAAAUACAAAAAUUAGCUGGGUGUGGUGGUGCACGCCUAUAGUCUCAGCUACUCGGGAGGCUGAGACAGGAGAAUCACUUGAACUCGGGAGGCAGAGGCUGCAGUGAGCCGAGAUCAUGCCACUGCACUCCAACCUGGUGACAGAGUGAGACUCUGUCUUAAAAAAAAAAAAACAAAACCAAAAACCAGAUAGUUACUAAGAUUUUAAAAAG
rnacentral:lncRNA from 10 species